rnacentral:rRNA from 1 species
CCUGGUAGUGGGGGAUAACGUCCGGAAACGGACGCUAAUACCGCAUACGUCCUACGGGAGAAAGCAGGGGACCUUCGGGCCUUGCGCUAUCAGAUGAGCCUAGGUCGGAUUAGCUAGUUGGUGGGGUAAUGGCUCACCAAGGCGACGAUCCGUAACUGGUCUGAGAGGAUGAUCAGUCACACUGGAACUGAGACACGGUCCAGACUCCUACGGGAGGCAGCAGUGGGGAAUAUUGGACAAUGGGCGAAAGCCUGAUCCAGCCAUGCCGCGUGUGUGAAGAAGGUCUUCGGAUUGUAAAGCACUUUAAGUUGGGAGGAAGGGCAGUAAAUUAAUACUUUGCUGUUUUGACGUUACCGACAGAAUAAGCACCGGCUAACUCUGUGCCAGCAGCCGCGGUAAUACAGAGGGUGCAAGCGUUAAUCGGAAUUACUGGGCGUAAAGCGCGCGUAGGUGGUUCGUUAAGUUGGAUGUGAAAUCCCCGGGCUCAACCUGGGAACUGCAUUCAAAACUGACGAGCUAGAGUAUGGUAGAGGGUGGUGGAAUUUCCUGUGUAGCGGUGAA